UAGGGAAUCUUCCACAAUGGACGCAAGUCUGAUGGAGCAACGCCGCGUGAGUGAAGAAGGCUUUCGGGUCGUAAAACUCUGUUAUUGAAGAAGAACGUGUGUGACAGUAACUGGUCAUGCAGUGACGGUAUUCAAUCAGAAAGUCACGGCUAACUACGUGCCAGCAGCCGCGGUAAUACGUAGGUGGCAAGCGUUGUCCGGAUUUAUUGGGCGUAAAGCGAGUGCAGGCGGUCUUUUAAGUCUGAUGUGAAAGCCUUCGGCUUAACUGAAGAAGGGCAUCGGAAACUGGGAGACUUGAGUGCAGAAGAGGAGAGUGGAACUCCAUGUGUAGCGGUGAAAUGCGUAGAUAUAUGGAAGAACACCAGUGGCGAAGGCGGCUCUCUGGUCUGUAACCGACGCUGAGGCUCGAAAGCGUGGGCAGCAAACAGGAUUAGAUACCCUG
rnacentral:rRNA from 1 species